rnacentral:snRNA from 1 species
CAAAUCCUGCUAUUCAGUC